UCAUGUGAGAUUACCCGCUGAAUUUAAGCAUAUUACUUAGCGGAGGAAAAGAAACUAACAAGGAUUCCCUUAGUAGCGGCGAGCGAAACGGGAAAAGUCCAGCACUGAAUCCCUCGUCCAUUGGGCGAUGGGAAAUGUAGUGUUUGGGAGUGUCCGUUAACUCGAAGCUAAACAGCUAGUCCAAGUCCGAUCUUUAAUGGGGCCAUUGCCCAUAGAGGGUGCCAGGCCCGUAGAGGCAGCUGUUGGCUUCGAGCGUGGGCGUCUCCUUAGAGUCGGGUUGCUUGAGAGUGCAGCCCUAAGCCGGUGGUAUACUCCAUCUAAGACUAAAUAUGACCACGAGACCGAUAGCAAACAAGUACCGUGAGGGAAAGUUGAAAAGAACUUUGAAGAGAGAGUUCAAUAGUACGUGAAACCGUUUAGGGGUAAACACGUGAAACUCGAUUCUAGUGCAGGGAGAUUCAGUAUUGGCCGCGGCGGUCGUGCCGGAUGUUUGGUGAGUCGGUUGUGCAAACUCUGGUUUCGGCUAGGGCGCGUGCACCAUUGCCCGUUCGGUAUUGUGCCGUUGCAUGUGCCAGUACGCACUUCUCCCUGCGUAUACUACGUCGCGACCGGUUGGUAUUAUGGGUGAUUGAAUUCACCUCGUGGGGACCUACGGCCCGUGUCGCAGCCUGGUUCGGUCUUAGCGUUCUUGUAAUGCGGACCGGCCAGAGGCAUGGUGUUUCCCGGAUCCCUCACCGACCGUAGCAAAUGAAGGUGGUAGCCCGCGCUACGUGCGCGUCCAUAGUCGCUUUCGGUCUUAAUGCGGUCGUGUUUGCCGGUCACCGAACGGGCUUGUCCCUUCGGCCUGUGCCACGUCGUGUUUGUAGGACCGAUCGAGUCAACAUUUGGACCGUGGCUUUACUUACACCAGUCAUGCGACGCUUUUGUAUCGGGCAGAUUACGUGACCCGUCUUGUAACACGGACCAAGGAGUCUAACAUGUGCGCGAGUCAUUGGGUAUAUGAAAACCUAAAGGCGUAAUGAAAGUGUAGGCUGUGUUUAACCGCAGCUGAGGGAGGAUGCCGGAUUGGUUGCAAACCAACCCAGCCGGCCGCACUCCCGGGGCGUCUCAUAGUCUCAUUGCGAGCGGAGGCGCACCUAGAGCGUACACGUUGGGACCCGAGAGAUGAUGAACUAUACCUGGUCAGGACGAAGUCAGGGGAAACCCUGAUGGAGGUCCGUCGAGAUUCUGACGUGCAAAUCGAUCUCUCGAACUGGGCAUAGGGGCGAAAGACCAAUCGAAUCAUCUGUUAGCUGGUUUCACCGGAAGUUUCCCUCAGGAUAGCUGGCGCACAUUUUACAAGGUGUUACAUCCGGUAAAGCGAAUGAUUAGCGGCCUUGGGGUCGAAAUGACCUCAACCGAUUCUCAAACUUUAAAUGGGUGUGUACUGCGACUUGCUAGAAUGAAGUCGUAGAAAAAAACCAAGUGUGCCAAGUGGGCCAAUUUUGGUAAGCAGAACUGGCGCUGUGGGAUGAACCAAACGCUGAGUUAAGGUGCCUAAAUCAACGCUCAUGAGAUACCAUGAAAGGCGUUGGUUGCUGGAGACAGCAGGACGGUGGCCAUGGAAGUCGGAAUCCGCUAAGGAGUGUGUAAC
rnacentral:rRNA from 1 species